UCCGUUGUCGUCCAGCGGUUAGGAUACCUGGCUUUCACCCAGGCGACCCGGGUUCGAUAUCCGGCAACGGAG
rnacentral:tRNA from 1 species